rnacentral:rRNA from 1 species
UACGGGGGGAGCAAGCGUUGUUCGGAUUUACUGGGCGUAAAGGGCGCGUAGGCGGCCACCGCAAGUCAAUUGUGAAAUCUCCGGGCUUAACUCGGAAAGGUCAACUGAUACUGCGGGGCUAGAGUGCGGAAGGGGCAACUGGAAUUCUCGGUGUAGCGGUGAAAUGCGUAGAUAUCUGGAGGAACACCGGUGGCGAAGGCGGCAUCCUGGACCGGCAUUGACGCUGAGGCGCGAAAGCGUGGGGAGCAAACAGG